rnacentral:rRNA from 1 species
GACGAACGCUGGCGGCGUGCUUAACACAUGCAAGUCGAACGAAGUGGCGAACGGGUGAGUAACGCGUAAUCAACCUGCCCUUCAGAGGGGGACAACAGUUGGAAACGACUGCUAAUACCGCAUACUGAAGGAGGGGAUUGCGUCGGAUUGGCUAGUUGGAUGGGUAACGGCCCUCCAAGGCGAUAAUCAGUAGCCGGGUUGCAAGGAGGAACGGCCACAUUGGGACUGAGACACGGCCCAUGCUCCGACGGGAGGCAGCAGUGGGGAAUCUGUCGAAAUGGACGAAAGGCUGACGGAGCAACGCCGCGUGAGUGAUGACGGCCUUCGGGUUGUAAAGCUAUGUUAAUCGGGACGCGGUACCGGAAUAGAAAGCCACGGCUAACUACGUGCCAGCAGCCGCGGUAAUUC